GAUGAACGCUGGCGGCGUGCCUAAUACAUGCAAGUAGAACGCUGAAGGAGGAGCUUGCUCUUCUGGAUGAGUUGCGAACGGGUGAGUAACGCGUAGGUAACCUGCCUGGUAGCGGGGGAUAACUAUUGGAAACGAUAGCUAAUACCGCAUGACAACAGUUAUUGCAUGAUAACUGUUUCAAAGGGGCAACUGCUCCACUACCAGAUGGACCUGCGUUGUAUUAGCUAGUUGGUGAGGUAACGGCUCACCAAGGCGACGAUACAUAGCCGACCUGAGAGGGUGAUCGGCCACACUGGGACUGAGACACGGCCCAGACUCCUACGGGAGGCAGCAGUAGGGAAUCUUCGGCAAUGGACGGAAGUCUGACCGAGCAACGCCGCGUGAGUGAAGAAGGUUUUCGGAUCGUAAAGCUCUGUUGUAAGAGAAGAACGAGUGUGAGAGUGGAAAGUUCACACUGUGACGGUAUCUUACCAGAAAGGGACGGCUAACUACGUG
rnacentral:rRNA from 1 species